CUCUCUGUUAUACAACAUCACACUUUGUAACACACACACACACACACACACCGUCCUUUACCAAAAAUCACAAAAACCAUCCCCCUCACCGUAGCCUACCGUACGGUUGACAUUACGACGGCCACCGCCCCCCGCACAAAUCACCACCGCCACAACUCACCACCGCCGCACAUCACUGGUGAUUCAAUCACUACACUUCUUGUCACUCAACAGCAGCUGGAGCAUUCAACCUACACUAUAUAAGUUGCCAUCCAGCUUUAGCCCAAAGUGGAUAUGAGGAAAACGUGCCCACUGUUAAACAACAUACACAAAUCUUUUCGUCUUUGGAAAGAAUCGUUCUUAGCUGCUACUCAUGAACUUCAGCGUAUAUAUGGAAAGGAUGAAGGGAAACAAUUGUCGUAAAGUUGCCUUGUUCAAAUAUAAAGAAAUAUAAGGGGAGAAAGAUUACGAUUACUGGUUUGCCUGGGACUCACUGUCAUCAUUCAAUUUUCCAAGUCCAGUUUGUGCUUUGCAUACUUAGUUACUACCAAUUUGCACAUGCAUUGUGUGUGCAAGACAUUUUACCUGUAAAGAUUAUAUAAAAAUCAAAAUUGAUUUUAUUGGUUAUUGCGUGUUGUGGAGGUUUUUUUUCUUCUUUUUCUGUGAAACAUUUAUUGGGAGUCUUUUAACUGGCUGGACCAAUGAAAAGGUAGUAUGGGAGUUGAAAGUGAUACAAAGAGACAUGGAAAACCACAAAGAAUGUUUUGUUGAGCUUGUGAGAAAAGACAUGUUGCUGUGACCUUAUGGUAAUCAUUUUGUGUGUGUGAGAUGGAUAGAAGGAAUUUUUAACAAACUAAGUUGUCAGGAUGAAGGAUUGUUUUGGUCAAACUUAGCAAUUAUUUGUUUUUGAAGUCAUCAUGAUGCUACAAGAUAACCUGGUGAUGUGCAUUCUUGAACUGCUAACCCAUAAAUUAGUCCCGCUUAUGAGGAGUUGGUCAGUAAGUAUGGGUUUGUGUCUCUUUCUGUUGCCCUGAUUUGCACAAUUAUUAUUUUUCAGGGAUUUCCUAAGCUGUGCUCUUUAU